rnacentral:lncRNA from 1 species
UCUAGUCCCUAAUUCUAAACAAAGUAUGACAAAAGACCUCUCCUCGAUUUUCACAUCUGAAAAAUUAAAGAAACUAAUAAAUAGGGGAAUUUAAUAUUGAUUUCAAAACUAGUUUUUCUUUAAAAAAAUCCCUAAACCUAGGUUGGCUCGCCGUUUUCCCAAGUUCAUCUACAAUAGAUUUCUCGCCGCUUUCCUAAAGUCAUCUAAAACUUGCUACUAUUCCAAAUUCCUUAAGAAGAUCUUGCACCAGAAAUCCUUUUAGCAGGGAGCUUCCUAUUCUUUGUAGUAUGUAAAGGGUUUAAAGAGUUUCAAUUACAACUCAAGAUGAGAACUUUGAAGAUUUAUCAAGUUGAGAAAUUAAUCAGGAAAAAAAUAUAAAAAUAUUAUUGUUCUAUGAGAUUUUAUAAACCAUAUCAUGAUAUAUGUAUUGUGUUCAUACUGCUACAAGUGGGAUUUAUUCUCCCCUCUUCUGCCAGGGUUUGAAUUUGGUUAAGGAGCUCUUGAAUGCGUUGUUCCACCAGCUCCGAAAAAACAGCAGGCACAUGCUCUAAUAUAUUUUGUAGUUAUUACAAAUUUUUAAUCUAUAAAUAUUUUUUCGUAUUGCAAAUUUUGAAUUUAUUGAUAAAUUGAUUUUUUAAUUUGAUUAUUUAUAGAUAAUUAUUGUAUAAAUUCAAAAAACACGCCACUUUGGGAUACUCUUUACAGACCAGACUUUUUGUCAUAAAAUUGUUUUUAGGACCAGGAUAAUAAUGGUACUAAAAUUUUCUUGGGAACAGUUAAUAUUUGCUUACGACUAGAUUUCAUGUCGCUGAAAGUGUUUUAGGGACAUGAAGUUUUUCGGUCUCCAAAAUCCUCUGAGGAUCAGUAAAUUAGUCUUGUCGUUACUGAUCUUUUGUGACGAAGACGAUUGCGAUGGCUGACGACCAAAUUUCUCUGGUCGCAAUUCACUUUUAAGGACUAGAAUAAGACUUUUAAGGACGAGUUUUCCCUUUGUUAGUGGACAUUUUUGUUGUAGUGGUUACUCUUAUUGACUUGGGAGAGAUUGAUACGUUACACAUUGAUGUUAUCUUGUGUUUGGAUUAGCUGCACUCAUGC